rnacentral:rRNA from 1 species
GACGAACGCUGGCGGCGUGCUUAACACAUGCAAGUCGAACGGAAAGGCCCUGCUUUUGUGGUGUGCUCGAGUGGCGAACGGGUGAGUAACACGUGAGUAACCUGCCCUUGACUUUGGGAUAACUUCAGGAAACUGGGGCUAAUACCGGAUAGGAGCUCCUGCUGCAUGGUGGGGGUUUGAAAGUUUCGGCGGUUGGGGAUGGACUCGCGGCGUAUCAGCUUGUUGGUGGGGUAGUGGCUUACCAAGGCUUUGCAGGGUAGCCGGCCUGAGAGGGUGACCGGGACCCAUGGGACUGAGAGACGGCCCAGACGGCUACGGGGGGCAGCAGUGGGGAAUAUUGCACAAUGGGCGGAAGCCUGAGGCAGAAACGCCGCGUGCGGGAUGACGGCCUUCGGGUUGUAAACCGCUUUCGCCUGUGACGAAGCGUGAGUGACGGUAAUGGGUAAAGAAGCACCGGCUAACUACGUG